rnacentral:rRNA from 1 species
ACUCAAAUGAAUAGACGGGAGAGCGCACAACCAGUGGAGCAUGUGGUUCAAUUCGAGACGAAACGAAGAACCUUACCCGGGUUUGACAUGUUAUCGUUUAGACCACUAGAAAUAGAGGUUCAUCUUAUUGAAAAAUGAGAUGAUAACACAGGUGUUGCAUGGCUGUCGUCAGCUCGUGUCGUGGGAUGUUCCCUUCAGUGGGGUAACGAGCGCAACCCCUGCCAUAUAUUAAAUAUUUAUAUGGGACUUUUCAUCCUUGUGAUGAAAGGAAGCGGGGACGACGUCAAGUCAGCAUGACCCUUAUGUCCGGGGCUACACACAUGCUACAAUGAGGCCAACAAUGGGUUGCCAAGCCGUAAGGCGGAGCUAAUCCCAUCAAAUGGCCUCUCAGUGGGGAUUGAGGGCUGCAACUUGCCCUCAUGAACGCGGAAUUGGUAGUAAUCGCAAGUCAGCUAUAUUGCGGUGAAUACGUUCUCGCUCUUUGUACACACCGCCCGU